CUGUUAGGAUUGUAAUUGCUAGGCCUUUAAAGUCAUCAAGCUUGUUUCCUCUGAUGUUGAGGGGUAGUUACGUGCCCUUUGAGAUCAUAAGCCUAGCAUAAUUGCAGCAUGUUUCCAGAGCAAGUCAUGACUAUUAGCAGGAAACGAGAUUAGUUACUACUCUGUUCUCCACUUCUGAGUAGUCGAGUAAACCGUGAGGUAAUUCACAAGAUGAGUUAGAGUUUACACAUUGUAGAGCAUAUAGGGGAGAAGAGCAAGGAAGAAGGCAAUAUGUCAGUUAUUACCUAUUAAUGUGGAGAUUAUAGCUCUAAAUUACCUUGAAAAUCUCAAAUGGCUUUAUUCUACCAAAGUCAGUCUAAACACUUCUGCCAGUGUUGCUUUCUUUCAAAGACUGGUAUUAGCAACAUUGAGCUAAAAGUUCUAAAUGCAUGAAUAGUUUUGAAAAUGCAGACUCCUUAACUGCAAACUAUUAAAUUGUGUCUUAAAAAAACUUCCAUAGUGACCUGUCAGAUGGAUUGAAUACCUUUCUAGAUGUGUAGCCAACAGUGUGUGCUUAGCCAAGAGCCAGUGACUUGAGAAUGAAAUCAGAUGGCUCAUGCAAUUUGGAUAUUACUUUAGAAAGCAAAACCAAUCAGAGGAAGGCAACAGGUCUUUAGCUUCGCACUUUACACCCAGGAAGUCAUUCACGGCUGCUCCAUUGCCACAGAUUUCAGAUCCAACACAGACAUUGAAGAUUUUUAAGUUAUAUUUUCCUUGAUAGAGAAAGGUUAAUGCUUUGUGAAGGAAAUGUAGAUUUUUGUCUUCGAAAGUGAUUAUUAAUAUCAGUUAUGUAUAGCUCUAUUUUUCUAGGAACAAAGUAUUCUGACUACUUCAAUAACUUUUAUAGCUGACUACUUUUGGGAAAGUUAACUUUUGGGAUUUGAAAUAAUUCACUGCUUAAUAAUCUGAAAAUGAAAGUGUUAUCAUAUGACAGUUACUUUAAGGGAUGGUCGGUCUCUCCCCUAGGGUAAUGAGCCUGUUGCUGGCAAUGGGCCUACUUAAGAACAGCUGGAUUUUCUGAUAAGAAAUGUAAUUUUUGGAACAUAGUUUGUAAGUUCACACAUACUACACUGGGCCAACCAUCCAGCCUACAUAAUGCUUCACUAAUGUGUGGUCUAACCCCUUGGCAGGUGGUUACUUUGACUUUAGCAAGUUUGCUUUUUUAAAAAAACAUGAAAUUGAGAGAUCUGGGAGUGGUGUGAGGGGAGCUCCAGAUGUCUCAGAUAGCUCUGUGCAGAAGGUUUUAGUGUUUCCACAGUGGUACAGGAAGGCAGUGGAAAGCCUGUGGCAUCCAGGAGGUGUCCUUCAGAAUGCUCUGGGCAGGUUUAUGUCACGGGGAUGAGGGCUGUGUCAGUCUGACUUUCAGAAGUGCUUUAAGGUGGUGGUGGCCUGGGUUAAGUGGCUUCUAUGUAAAAAAGUGGUACCGUAGGCUUUUUUUUUUUUUCUCAAAGGUGUUUUGUCAUAGCAAACUCCGUGGGCGCCAACUUACCUUGAGGUUUUAGAGAAUUAUUUAUUUCUUUACAAUGCACUUUCUAACCCAUUUUUUAGCUAUAUUAGCAUUAUCUUUAAGAAGAAAAGACUUUUUAUAUUUAAAUGUUGUGGGAUUUGAGUGUCUUUUCCAAAAUAGCUUAUUUCCUGAAAGAAAAUGAGGAGCUACCUUGGCCUCUUUGGGACUCCGCCAUUGUUUAAAAGUGCUUCCUCUCACUGCAUCAGGGCUGUGGGAGGCUCCCUGGUUCCGUAUUACUUGAGCCAGCUCACUGUGGACCUGGCUCCUCUGGAGCUGAGUGAGGAAGGGCUGCAUGUUCCCACAGUCCACUCAAACAGGGGCCCUUCCAAGCCAUGUGCAGCCUGGGAACAAUGGGCGUGAUUUCCCAUGGUCAUCUUUUAACUUGUAGGAGUAAUUCUUUUCUGGGGGGUAUCUACAUUGUAGAUGUAUAGGCUUGAACACAAAAACAAUCCUUGGACAUUUUAUGGCAUUUUCACACCCAAAACAAAAUGCUGGGUAGCUUUAUCCUAAGAUGUAUAACCCUUGAGCAGGAAGGGUUUCCGUCAAGUUUACUUUGGAGAGUCUCGGGAGGUUGUUUAUAUGUGUGUGUCUUGUCAGCAUCUGUCAUUUUGAGAAUUUUGAGGGAAAAGGAAACCUAAUGUGAGGUAUUUGUUGGGUAAACUGGUUUUGAAUGUUUUUACUGUUUUACAAGCAGAUACCAUUUGAACAAGAAAAAAGUCAUUAGCCUGCUGUUUUAAGGUAGUCCUACAAAAAUUUGGAGAGUGGUUCUACAAUAGAAAAUAUUUAUUUUAGUACUGCGUUUCAGUUAAGUGGUAAACAGUGUUAAGAGGUCUUGGGAAAGUGGAAGGCUUUUGUUAUUGUGUUUGUAAUCAAAACUGCCCUAGUGCUUCACGGUCUGGAGAAUGGAACUGUACUGAUACUAUUUUGAUACAUAUAUACAUAUGUGUAUGUAUAUGGUGAUCCUCUUGUUUUACUAACAAGCUCUGGAAUAUUUAGCAGUCAUUUUCACUGGCACAAGAGCCUUUUGUAUAUUAAUCAAUUUAAACUUUUAAACCAAAAAUAUAUUAAAGUUCAGUGUCAGGCAAAAAAAAAAAAAAAAAAAAAAAAGGAUGCUGAAGAGAAUGUAACAGAAUUAAUACGUGGUUAUAUAAAAGACACAAAUGGCCAUGAUAUGGGUCUGCCUUGAAACAGCACAAUGGGGUAUUAUUAGUGUGUCUGAUUCUCUGAGACGCUCUCGUGUUGGUCUUGUCUGCUGCUGCCUGUCCGUCCGUCCUCUGGGCCAACGGCGCAGUUGCUACGGCUCAUCUCGAACCCGAGUGUGGCAGCCUUUUCCCUAACUUCUGUGCGUUCUAUGACUGUGUGUUGUUUCCAAAGCUGUUCCUACCUCACCAUGAGGCUUUAUGGAUUGUUCUGUAUUAUAAAUGUUCUAUAUGAGACAAGACUACUGUGUUUCUUCUCAUUUAUUAAAAGUUAAGUAGAAAAAUAAACUAAUUCCAGUAUCUA
rnacentral:lncRNA from 1 species